rnacentral:rRNA from 1 species
AACGAACGCUGGUGGCAGGCCUAACACAUGCAAGUCGAACGUGAAGCCAGAGCUUACUCUGGUGGAAAGUGGCAGACGGGUGAGUAACGCGUGGGAACCUACCCAGUGGUACGGAAUAACUCAGGGAAACUUGUGCUAAUACCGUAUGUGCCCUUCGGGGGAAAGAUUUAUCGCCAUUGGAUGGGCCCGCGUUGGAUUAGCUUGUUGGUGAGGUAACGGCUCACCAAGGCGACGAUCCGUAGCUGGUCUGAGAGGAUGAUCAGCCACACUGGGACUGAGACACGGCCCAGACUCCUACGGGAGGCAGCAGUGGGGAAUAUUGCACAAUGGGCGCAAGCCUGAUGCAGCCAUGCCGCGUGAGUGAAGAAGGCCCUAGGGUUGUAAACCCCUUUCAGCGGGGAAGAUAAUGACGGUACCCGCAGAAGAAGCCCCGGCUAACUCCGUG